ensembl:lncRNA
AUGACAAUUUUUUCAAUGAUUUCUCAGUUUAGUUUUUCAGUCUUGCUAUUAUAUAACAUGCUUUCUCCAGACUUGUUCCGACUCAUUUGUUUCUUUUCCCCCCAGCUCUGUACAACCAUGUGCAAUUCAUCCUUCCAAAUCAAUAAUACACUCUCUGUAUUUGAAGAGUCUGUGAUGUGGGUCUGUAUUUGUAAGGGACACAUUGGCAACCUUGCCAUUUUAGUUACUUUUGUACUGUUGGCCAUUGUGGGAACGCCAUUCCAUUGCUGGACCCUCUGGGUGCUUACUCAUGGGAACAUCAAACCCAACUCAAUCUUUCCAUUGAAUAUCAAUAUGGUGGAGCUGAUUGUUUGCAUCCAUAGCAUUAUGGACUCAUUUAUUACCAACUAUCCCACUGUGACAGGUGAUCGUUUGAUUGUCUUUUUCAUUGGUCUCUGUUGGACAGUCAGGCCUCUUCUCCAGAUCUGCAUGUGUAUUGAACAAUAUCUGGCAGUGAUUCACCCAGUAACAUUCCUGAGAUACAAGGGCAUCCAGUACAGGUUUGCAUCGGCAGCAGCAGCUUGGCUGUUCGGAGCGGCCAACAGCGUGAGGCUUAUUUUCAUCGGAAUAGAAUAUUUCCCAGAUCAUGUAUUCUUUUUGGUUUUUUGCAUUGCAGUUAUAAUAAUCUCAUUUUGCUGUGCAUCAGUCCUUCGUGCUCUGAAGCGUCCAGGACCAGGUGAGCGAGCAAACGUAGAGAUGACAAGAAAAGACAGACACAAUAAAACUGACAGAGGCAGAGCUGUUGAGAACCAGCAGAAAAGGAAGGCCUUCAAAAUCAUCUCUCAUAGUUUAGCAUUCUUCCUGAUUUGUUAUGUUCCUCAAGUAGUAUGUUAUUUUAUGCGCAUAGCUAAAAUGAGUAAGCAUACAUACAUUUGCAACGCAUUUCCAUUGCUUCUGUCAUUUAGUUUGACUGCUGUAUUAAUUUCUCCACUGGUCAGGAUGUAUAAUGAAGGCCAAAUAAAAGAAAUUAUGUGCUUUUCAAGGCUUAGAGGACAAAUAAAAGGAAAAUAA